rnacentral:rRNA from 1 species
GUAACACGUGGGCAACCUGCCUGUAAGUUGGGGAUAACUCCGGGAAACCGGGGCUAAUACCGAAUGAUAAGAUGUGGCGCAUGCCACGCCUUUGAAAGAUGGUUUCGGCUAUCGCUUACAGAUGGGCCCGCGGUGCAUUAGCUAGUUGGUAGGGUAAUGGCCUACCAAGGCAACGAUGCAUAGCCGACCUGAGAGGGUGAUCGGCCACACUGGGACUGAGACACGGCCCAGACUCCUACGGGAGGCAGCAGUAGGGAAUCUUCCGCAAUGGACGAAAGUCUGACGGAGCAACGCCGCGUGUAUGAAGAAGGUUUUCGGAUCGUAAAGUACUGUUGUUAGAGAAGAACAAGGAUAAGAGUAACUGCUUGUCCCUUGACGGUAUCUAACCAGAAAGCCACGGCUAACUACGUGCCAGCAGCCGCGGUAAUACGUAGGUGGCAAGCGUUGUCCGGAUUUAUUGGGCGUAAAGCGCGCGCAGGCGGUCUUUUAAGUCUGA